AAGCAGCUCCUUUGGAGGCAUGGCACCUGUGAGAGAACUGAGUCCAACAAAGGGACUCAUCUCAAGGACAGUCUUAUCAACACCUGGGCUAGAGAACCUGGCAUGGAGUGGGUGUAUCACAUUCCCGACCAUGCACCAGCGGCCAGGAAAGGUGAGCCCAUUGCUUGCUGCAGCUGCUGGUUGACGGAGACUUUUACACACUCGCCAUCACCAAGGAAGAUCCUCACCAUCUGUGUGGGUGCUUCAUGGGAAAUGGGACCACCCCAGCUAUUCUCUCUCUCUCUGGAGAGAGGGAGCCCCAGGGGCUGCUUGACUGGAACCAGAGCAGAGCUGCCAUCGCCAGGAUCCUGCAAGAGGCAGAUUCCUCCCUGGAGUGAGGAUGCUCAUCAAGGUCACGCCUUGAGGCUGAGAGGAAUGUUUUCCCAUGGUCAUUGGUUUUGG